CAUACGUAAAUUAUUAAGAGCUAAAGGUGGAUUUCUUGGAAAUGGUAGGCUAUGAAGGACGUGCCAAUCUGCGAUAAGCUAGGGGUAGCCGAUAAGGGGCUUUAAUCCCUAGAUUUCCGAAUGUAGAAAUACAACAUUUCGAAAGAUUUGUUACUUGUCGGCCAAUUCAUAACCGGCAAGGGUGAACUUCGUGAAGUGAAACAUCUCAGUAGCGAAAGGAAAAGAAAGAGAAUUCGAUUCCCUCAGUAGUGGUGAGCGAAAGGGGACCAGGCCAAACCGGUUUUACCGGGGUUGUAGGACAUUUAUAUGGAAUCAGAAGUAUAGGAGAAGUCUUUGGAAAAAGACGGCAUAGAGGGCGAUCCCCCCGUAUCCGAAAUGCUUUUGAUUGCUGAGUGUAUCCUGAGUAGGGCGGGACACGUGUAAUCCUGUCUGAAUCUGCCCAGACCAUUGGGUAAGCCUAAAUACUAACCAUUUACCGAUAGUGAACAAGUACUGUGAAGGAAAGAUGAAAAGAACCCAGAGAUGGGAGUGAAAUAGAUCAUGAAACCUGUAGCUUACGAAGAGUCAUAGGCCAUUUAUGGCUAAUGGCGUGCGUUUUGAAGUAUGAGCCGGCGAGUUAUUGUUGCAUGCAAGGUUAAGCAAUCAAAAGCGGAGCCGUAGCGAAAGCGAGUGUGAAUAGUGCGUUUAGUAUGUGGCAAUAGACCCGAAACGGGAUGAUCUAUCCAUGGGCAGGUUGAAGGUGGAGUAAUAUCCAUUGGAGGACCGAACCGACUACCGUUGAAAUGUUAGCGGAUGACUUGUGGAUAGGGGUGAAAUUCCAAUCGAAUUCCGUGAUAGCUGGUUCUCGUCGAAAUAGUUUUAGGACUAGCGUUGGAUUAUUUGAUGCUUUGGAGGUAAAGCACUGAAUUCAUGAUGGCGCAAUCUUUGUGUACUGAAUGAAAUUAAACUUUGAAUGCCAAAGUGUCUAUUCCAGCAGUGAGACUAUGGGGGAUAAGCUCCAUGGUCAUGAGGGAAAGAGCCCAGACUAACAAAUAAGGUCCCUAAAUUUGGCUAAGUGGAGAAGGAAGUCGAAAUUCUUAAACAACUAGUAUGUUGGCUUAGAAGCAGCCACCAUUUAAAGAGUGCGUAACAGCUCACUAGUCUAGUUUUUCGGCACCGAAGGUAUAACGGGGCUAAGCCAAAUACCGAAUUUUUAGACUAUUUUUAUAGUGGUAGACGAGUGUUGUAUUAGCGGCGAAGGCUGAGCGUGAGCACAGUUGGAGUUAAUACAAGUAAGAAUGCCGGCGUGAGUAACGUAUGAAAGUUAAAAUCUUUCUAGCCGAUUGAUCAAGGUUUCCAGGGCAAGGGUCAUCCUCCCUGGGUUAGUCGGUCCUAAGAUGAGGCCGAGAGGCGUAGUCGAUGGGCAGCGAGUUAAUAUUCUUGCACCAGUUUAGCUAGUGAUGGGUUGACAGAAGAGGUUAAUGCGAGCGGGUUAUUGGAUUCUCGUUUAAGCUGCAAGUGUUUCGGGUAGUAAAAUACGCCCGAUUUAAGCGUGAGCAGUCAAUACGAGCGAACCCUUCGGGUAGUAGCGAAGUCGCAAACAUCAUAUUCUCAAGAAAAGACUCUAAACUUAUGGCUAAUCUGUCCGUACCUAGAACGAACACACGUGAUCAGGGAGAAUAUCCCAAGGCUAUCGAGAUAACUAUAGUUAAGGAACUCUGCAAAAUAGCCCCGUAACUUCGGGAGAAGGGGUGCCUAAUUUGCUUUAGGCCACAGUAAAGAAUGAGGGGGGACUGUUUAACAAAAACAUAGCUUUAUGCGAAAUCGUAAGAUUAGGUAUAUGAGGCGACACCUGCCCAGUGCCAGAAGGUCAAUGAAGGAUGUUAGCUUUUGCGAAGCAUUUAACUUAAGCCCUGGUGAACGGCGGCCGUAACUAUAACGGUCCUAAGGUAGCGAAAUUCCUUGUCAGGUAAAUUCUGUCCCGCUUGAAUGGUGUAACCAUCUCUUAACUGUCUCGACUAUAGGCUCGGUGAAAUCCUGGUGAGAGUGAAGACACUCUCUUGCCGCUAUGGGACGGAAAGACCCUAUGAAGCUUUACUGUAGCUUGAUAUUGUAAAAAUUUUAUGGAUUUAGAGAAUAAGUGGGAGACGUAGAGAACUAGACGCCAGUUUAGUUGGAGUCGACAGUGGAAUACCACUAUUCCUUUGAGUUUUUUCUUACAUCUACCCUUUAUCAGGGGGGUGGACAGUGUUAGGUGGGCAGUUUGACUGGGGCGGUCACCUCCUAAAAAGUAACGGAGGUGUGCAAUGGUGCCUUUAAUACGGUUGGAAAUCGUAUGUAAAGCAUAAUAGUAUAAGGGCGCUUGACUGUGAGACAUACACGUCGAACAGGUAGGAAACUAGGCUAUAGUGAUCCGGUAGUACCGAAUGGAAGGGCUAUCGCUCAACGGAUAAAAGCUACUCUAGGGAUAACAGGCUAAUAAUGUCCAAGAGUUCAUAUCGACGACAUUGUUUGGUACCUCGAUGUCGACUCAUCUUAUCCUGGGGCUGAAGCAGGUCCCAAGGGUUCGGCUGUUCGCCGAUUAAAAAGAUACGUGAGUUGGGUUCAAACCGUCGUGAGACAGGUUGGUCCCUAUCUGUAGCGGCUGUAGGAAGGAUGAGGGGAUUCGUUCUUAGUACGAGAGGACCGGAAUGAACAUACCUCUAGUGUUGCAGUUGUCGUGCCAGCGGCAUCGCUGCUUAGCUAUGUAUGGAAUAGAUAAACGCUGAAAGCAUCUAAGUGUGAAACUAACCCCGAAAAUAGCCUUCCCUCCCCCUCGGGGGUUAAGAAUCCUAAUAGAUCAUUAGGUUGAUAGGAUGUCUGUGUAAGUGCAGUAAUGCAUUAAGCUAAACAUUACUAAUAAUUCGAGCGAUUUACGUA
rnacentral:rRNA from 2 species